rnacentral:rRNA from 1 species
AUGCCUUCACUUGGCUUGGCUCUCGUGCUGCUGGUCUCUUUGGUCUCUCCGACCAGCUCCUGCACCAAGCAGGAGAAGAGCUCCCUUCUCCAGCUCCUCGCCGAGCUAUCGCAGGACGGCGGCCUGACGACAUCGUGGCGGCACGACACCGAUUGCUGCACAUGGGAAGAGAUCACCUGCAUCCAAGAUAGGAAGGUCACUGAUGUUUUGUUGGCUUCUCGAGGCCUCGAGGGGCCCAUCUCGCCGUUCUUUGGCAACCUCACCGGACUUUUGCGCCUCAACCUUUCCCGGAACUUGCUCAUGCAUAAACAUCACACUGGCUAA